CCACAACCUCUCUAUUCCUUAUUUUUCUUGUGUAUGAGAAAAACUCUCAUGUUCUCCCCUUUCCUCUCCCUCUAGAUAAGCCACACCCCACUACAAAAUCCUCCAUUUUUCAUUUUCCAUUUCCCACUCCAAGCUCUCUCUCUCUCUCUUUCACAAGGAUGAAGAAGAAGAAGAAGCAAGUAGAAGAAUUAUUUGCAAGGAAGCUAUGAUAGAGGAGAGUUUAGAGCUACUAUCAGGUAGCGAUCAAGUUAAAGAUAAGGGAAUUACAAACUCCAAAGAGGACUAGCUCUAGUGCUCAGCAAAAGAAGAAUAGUUAACUCGUUAAGUAAUGAUGUAUAAUAACUCUAUAUAAAAAUUCUAUGAUGUAACUAUUCCCUUAAGGUCUUCUAGCUAUUUUGGUAUUUUGUGGAUUCCGUUGUGAACUUGUGAUUCUGGGUGUUGUAUAUUUCUUUUACUUUAUUCUGCUCUUUGGUUGUAUUAAUUGAACAAGAUUGUUUACAAGAAUUAUGUAGGUUGACCCUCCA